rnacentral:rRNA from 1 species
UGGGGAAUAUUGCACAAUGGGCGAAAGCCUGAUGCAGCAACGCCGCGUGAGGGACGACGGCCUUCGGGUUGUAAACCUCUUUUAGCAAGGAAGAAGCGAAAGUGACGGUACUUGCAGAAAAAGCGCCGGCUAACUACGUGCCAGCAGCCGCGGUAAUACGUAGGGCGCAAGCGUUAUCCGGAAUUAUUGGGCGUAAAGAGCUCGUAGGCGGUUUGUCGCGUCUGCUGUGAAAACCCGAGGCUCAACCUCGGGCCUGCAGUGGGUACGGGCAGACUAGAGUGCGGUAGGGGAGAUUGGAACUCCUGGUGUAGCGGUGGAAUGCGCAGAUAUCAGGAAGAACACCGAUGGCGAAGGCAGAUCUCUGGCCGUAACUGACGCUGAGGAGCGAAAGGGUGGGGAGCAAACAGGCUUAGAAUGACCCUGGUAGUCCACCCGUAAACGUUGGGAACUAGUUGUGGGGUCCAUUCCACGGAUUCCGUGACGCAGCUAACGCAUUAAGUU